UGUUCCAGCCCGGGAUUGAACCAAAGAGCUUGUGUGUGUCAAACACACGUGAUAACCAUUACACCACUAAAUC